CCUGAGAAACCCAAAAGUUCGAAUGGAGAGAUUCAUCGUCAGCGAUCCCGGCGAUGUGCGGUUCGCGAUGCCCGAGACCUCGGUCCCGCGGCACGCGUCCGUGUCAUUUUUUUGCCGGGUGUCGUCGUCGUGCACUUCUCCCCUAGUAGGACGUCGCGACCCGUUGGGUGUCGGUCUACGACUCGGGUGGGUGCCCGUCAUGUGUUACGCUUCACGGCGUCAUGUGGCAGACCCCCGGUUGUCCGACCAGCUGCCCGGCGGUACUCGCACGGUAUUGAGUCGCAAAUUUGAACUGCGUCCGGCCCGCCGCAAGCGAGGCCAGUGUUUCCCGGAUGUACGGACUUUGCGCCGUCACCGGGCCUGGCCAGCUGUUGGCCGGUGGUGUCCUGGGACUGGCUCUAUAAAAAUACCGGUCGGCGACGCUACUGCUUUGGGUACUUUCAGGACCCGUCUUGAAACACGGACCAAGGAGUCUAACAUGUGCGCGAGUCAUUGGGAUCUUUUAAGCCUAAAGGCGCAAUGAAAGUGAAGGUAGGCCUUGCGCCAACCGAGGGAGGAUGGGCCGCGUCACGAUGCGGUCCCGCACUCCCGGGGCGUCUCGUUCUCAUUACGAGAAGAGGCGCACCCAG
rnacentral:rRNA from 1 species